AUUAAUAAAUAUUGAAACAAUUAAUUUAAAUUACAGUUUUUUCGUACAAAUAAUUUAAAUAUUUUUAUAGAUAGAAACCAAUCUGACUUACUUCGAUUUGAACUCGAAUCGUGUAAGAUUUUUAAAAGCCGAACAGACUUAAUUAUUAAAUUUCUAUAUUUAAAAUUUAUCUUAAU